CAAAGAUCACAAUAUAUCUCAAUAUUUAACCGUGGGUUUUCCUUAAUUCUUCAAGAUUCAGAAUCCCCAUUACGAGGGCUACAAGAAGUACCCAUCAAUCGGACGUAUAAUAUCCCAAAAGAUAGAGUUCAUUCAGAAGCUUCUAAUUUAAGGUGAGUGGGGUUUUCCUAAAAUCUCAUGGGCAUAGAAAUCUUCUUUUAAUUAUGCAAAGGGUUUAGAAAUCAUGAUUUUAAGAAAAUAGUUUUGGAUUUAUGAUUAUAAACAUGUUUUAGAAGCCUUGAUGAUAUUGUUUUGGUCUUUAGGCCUUCC
rnacentral:lncRNA from 1 species